CCUGGGCAGAACCCUGACAGCCUGGUCUGACCCCCAGGGAAGGAGAAGGAGCUCCUGGAGAAGCUGUACCAGGUGGGGCUGCUGCUGCUGCUGGAGACAGCGACGACAACAUCAAGGAUGACAACCUCUUCCUCAACCUGGCCACUGGCAGCUGAAGAUGAUGGACUUGUGGCACCGUCUUCAAAGCCAGGCUCCACAGCGAAUUCGCAGAUGAGUCCACAGCCGGGGAAAUGCUCCCAGAUUUGGGCAUUGCUCAGACUGGCUGGGAACAAAAGUUUCUCCCUUUGCUGGGGCAGAUGCAACUUCAGUCGGCUGCCCAGCUGCUUUUUGGCAGGGCUGGGGGCAUGGGCUGGGGUGGAUACAAGAUGGGAGUUGGCUCCUGGCCCUGCCAACAGCCCCCAGCACCCAGCAUGGCCUGGGCUGAGGCUGGGGCUGGGGCUGGGGCAGCCAGCCUGACACAAACAAACCUCCAUGGUGGGAGCAGAGGUGGGACUCCAGAACCUGUGCAGGGGCUGCUUUGCUUUGCAGGCAAGGAAGGGCUUGGGCUGCUCCACUGCCCUUGUUUGCUUUGGGAUCACCGUUAUUUUGGGGGGCAGUGCAGGAGGGAAGAGAGAAAGUGUGGGCUUCUCUCCCCCAUGGGUGGGAUUUUCCCUAGCAUGUAGGGGUUGGGCCUUCCUCAGACCUCUGACAGAGAUAAGAGUUUUUUUCUUGUUUCCCCUUGUCUCUAAUCUCUUUUCAACAGUUUGUUGUUUGUUUUUCUAGAGGAAGCGUUCUAUGUAAGGUCCAGUCGGGAUUGGGAAGUGCCUGGGAGCAGCUGCAGCGUGGAUGGGCCGUGCCCUUGGAGAAGGCUGAGGACAUCGUUUGGGACCAGCUUUUCUCCCAGCGGAGGAUGGCGUGAGCCGGGCUCUGCGGGUGCUGAGGCUGCUCUGGGCUCUGCCAGGGCUCUGCUGGGCUCUGCCCCGGGCACAGCUGGGCUGGCUCUGCCCUCACAUUGCUCUGACAGCUUUGCAUCAGACGAGCCCGUUGGAGCACAGUGCCUGAGCUUUCUGCUUUGGCAGGAACGCCUGGAUCUCCACUAUUCAUUCUUCAUUUCUUUUUGGCUGGAAUUGUGCAGUUGCACUUUCUUCCUCCUCUAGAAGUGCCACGAGUGGGCCAAACCUUGCAAAUGAGCCGUGUUCCUGAGGCAGUGCAGUCUGGAGCUGAUGGAUGGAGAAUUGCCCUUCCCACUUCCAAAGCAGAGCAAAAAGCCAGGUCCUGGCCCUCUUCCAGCCAAAGGGGAAAGGGCCCCACCAAGCCUUGUUACCCACAGACAACAUGGUAAAGCUGAACACUAAAGGACCUUGGGGGCAUUAUUCUGGAAUUAAAAAGUUGCCAGCUCCAUGGACAACAGAAUUAUUGUUCCUAACCUGAAUGACAUUGAGCAAAAAGAAUGAAGAACGGUGUCACUAAAGUACUACUGACGUUUGCCAAAACACCUCCAGAGUUUCACCAAGAGAUCAGUCAUCAAAAUGUUUUGAAAAUUUAAAGACCAAGGUAGCCAAAGCACACAGUGUCACUAAUUGCUGGGUAUGUUCUCAGCUGAAGUUGGGAGGAAUGGGGUUCCCUUGGAGGGCCCACCCUGUGGGGUGGCCAGAACUCUGUCAAUGGGCUCUGCCUCGUAACGGAGUCAAUGAAGGGACAGUUAGAGAAACCUGUGCUGUGGGACACGGGAAUACAACGAUCAGUGUGACAGGAUUCACUCAGAUUUCCCGUCAGGAGAAACCAAACCCUGUUACAGUUAUAGAGGCUACAGUGUCAGAAGAUUUCUGUGCUUUACCAUCACUCCCAAUGUCAGUAGAACUUGGGGUGCUGCAGCUGGUCAGUGUCAGUGUCACACCGCUCCCAGCUGCAGGGCCCCCAUUUAGGGUCCUUCAGCAACGACCACACGGAAGACUUAGGGCCCAGAGAACAUUUUCCACCCAAAGAGUGCCUUGGGUUUCCGAAAGCAAAGGAUUCUGGUUCACCCUGUGCCCCAUGUGCGCUGCCCCAUCCCGUGGAGUUGACAUGAAUGAGCUGAAUGGAUUAUUAGAAGAGGUAGUAAAUGAUACUGUUGAAAUGCCCAUUAGCACAUCCUAUGAGCUCCAACAAACACAAAUGGGGACUCCAGAGAACCGCAUGGCCUUGGAUUAUCUGCUUGCUGGCCAAGGAGGAACCUGGGCUAUCAGGGGACGGGGAUGUUGCACUGCUAGCAGUGAUGGGUUUGAAGGCCAACAGCCAGGAAUCACCUUGACAGAAAGAGCAGUAGAAGAGUGGCAGAAGAAAAUUCUUCUUGGUGGGAUUGGCUUCGUGGCUGCCAAAUUAGAGGCUGCUGUGAAAUGCAUUGGUGGCAGGGCCUGUCAUCAUUGCAGUGUGUGCACUUGGUGAGUUGCUGUGACACUUUGUGCUGGGAAGUGGAGUAUUGAGACCUUUCUUAAAAGAGACAGUCUCAAGAAAAGAGAGGCUUUUGAUAAACAACAGAGAAUAGCAACUAUUUAGGCAUGUUUUAAAAGGAACGUGAAUAGCUCUGAGUAAUGAAGUUAAACUGCACUUAAUUGUAGAACAAGAGGAGAUGCCUUUAUGCCUAAUACCUAAAUCUAAGCUGUGUUACUGAAAGAAUUAUUACAAAGGUUGUAGUUGAUUGUAGGUCUCAGGACCGAUCAAAGUACCAAGGCCUGAACAGGUUGUGAUCAAGGCCUGAACAGGCCCUGAGGCAAAGCUCACCUCUAGAUGAACCUUCCAAGCAAAUGUUGUAUUUGUAUCCACUCAUUAAGGAAGCAUGAUUAACAACACGAUCAAUGCAUGUGUUCCUUGAUAAAACAUGGAUUUAUCUUUCUGUAUUUAGAAACAGACAAGGCCCCAUCUGGCCUUGUUUGGGGGUGAAGGAUCAAAGUCAACUCCCUUGGUUCCUCCUUCAGCCCUGGCCAGGCUUUGGGAGAAAGCAGUCAGGAGAAUGAAAGCAGAUGUUCUCGCAGUGGCAGUGAUGCCAGCUUGUUUGUUUAACAGUGUAAAAGCUGGGUCCUCUCACAGCUUUGGAGCCUCAUUGCCUGCAGAGGUGGAGGCACCUGCAGGAAUUCCCAGUGUCUGGGAGUGGCUCUCCAGUCCUUGGCUUCCCCCAGCUGAUGUGUGGCUGUGGAUGAUGGUAAAGCCUGAGGCUAACUGGUGAUGGAUCUUUCCUUAAUCACUCCAGGCAAUCUCUGGUAGCAAUGACUGGAUGCAUUGCUGAGCUUCUUUUGUAAUGCUUUGCUAAUGAUGAUGUGCUUUGCUGAGCUUAUCCUUUUGUAAUUCUUUGCAGCUGUGCAUGAUAUAAAUGACACAAUUCCUUCA